rnacentral:lncRNA from 1 species
AUUUAGAAAAUAAAAAAGGAAAAUAUUUAUAGAUUUUUGGUGAAAGUCCCAUAUUUUUUGGAUUAAAAAUAAAAUUAAUAUGAAUUAAUCAAAAUAAAUGGAUUAAAUGAAAAAUCAGAAAAUAAAAAGAAAAUAAAAAAAAACAAGGGCCAUCAGAUCUCCCUUAUUAAUUGAAGUGGCAGACCUAAUGGCCAAGCGC